UACGUAGCGGGCGAGCGUUGUCCGGAUUUAUUGGGCGUAAAGAGCGUGUAGGCGGCCUGGCAGGUCUGCUGUGAAAACUCGAGGCUCAACCUCGAGAUGUCGGCGGAAACCGUCUGGCUAGAGUCCGGAAGAGGAGAGUGGAAUUCCUGGUGUAGCGGUGAAAUGCGCAGAUAUCAGGAAGAACACCUAUGGCGAAGGCAGCUCUCUGGGACGGUACUGACGCUGAGACGCGAAAGCGUGGGGAGCGAACAGG
rnacentral:rRNA from 1 species